rnacentral:rRNA from 1 species
CCUUUAGGCAAAUCCGGAGAGCUUAGCUGAGGCGUGAUGACGAGGCUCUUUUGAGCUGAAGUUGCUGAUACCCCGCUUCCAAGAAAAACCUCUAAGCUUCAGGUAACAGGAAUCCGUACCCUAAACCGACACAGGUGGGCGAGGAGAGUAUCCUAAGGCGUUUGAGACAACUCUGAUGAAGGAACUCGGCAAAUUAGUGCCGUAACUUCGGGAGAAGGCACGCCCGCGCAAGCGGGCCGCAGUGAAGAGGGGGUUGCGACUGUUUAUCAAAAACACAGGACUCUGCAAACACGAAAGUGGAAGUAUAGGGUCUGACGCCUGCCCGGUGCUGGAAGGUUAAGUGAUGGGGUUAGCCGCAAGGCGAAGCUCUUGAUCGAAGCCCCAGUAAACGGCGGCCGUAACAAUAACGGUCCUAAGGUAGCGAAAUUCCUUGUCGGGUAAGUUCCGACCUGCACGAAUGGCGUAACGAUAGCCCCACUGUCUCCAUCAGAGGCUCAGUGAAAUUGAAAUCGCUGUGACGAUGCAGUGUUCCCGCGGCAAGACGGAAAGACCCCGUGAACCUUUACUAUAUCUUUACACUGGAUUUUGAGUUUGUUUGUGUAGCAUAGGUGGGAGCCUUUGAAGCGCUGGCGCUAGCUGGCGUGGAGGCACCGGUGAAAUACCACCCUGAUAAACUCGAAGUUCUAACCUAGUCCAGUCAUCCUGGACAGGGACAUUGUAUGGUGGGUAGUUUGACUGGGGCGGUCUCCUCCCAAAGAGUAACGGAGGAGUGCGAAGGUUAGCUCAGCGCGGUCGGAAAUCGCGCUCUAGAGUGCAUAGGCAUAAGCUAGCUUGACUGCGAGACAAACAAGUCGAGCAGGUACGAAAGUAGGUCUAAGUGAUCCGGUGGUUCUGUAUGGAAGGGCCAUCGCUCAACGGAUAAAAGGUACUCCGGGGAUAACAGGCUGAUACUGCCCAAGAGUCCAUAUCGACGGCAGUGUUUGGCACCUCGAUGUCGGCUCAUCUCAUCCUGGGGCUGUAGCAGGUCCCAAGGGUCUGGCUGUUCGCCAGUUAAAGAGGUACGCGAGCUGGGUUCAGAACGUCGUGAGACAGUUCGGUCCCUAUCUGCCGUGGGCGUUUGAGAUUUGAGGAGAGUUAACCUUAGUACGAGAGGACCGGGUUGAACGUACCUCUGGUGUUCCAGUUGUCACGCCAGUGGCAUCGCUGGGUAGCUAUGUACGGACGGGAUAAACGCUGAAAGCAUCUAAGCGUGAAGCCCACUCCAAGAUGAGAUCUCACGCAGGUUUAACCUGCCUAAAGAGUCCACGAAGACUACGUGGUUGAUAGGCGCGAUGUGGAAGUGCAGUAAUGCAUGUAGCUAACGCGUACUAAUUGCUCGUGAGGCUUGACCAA